UUGACCAAGUAACUAUCUGGUAAAAUAUUGUAAUCUCUAUGUUUUGCUAUCGAGUUUUCAUUAGAAAUGAGUGUGAAAUGCAAGAGGUGCAGUAGCUGAGACUGAGAGAAAACUGUGACAGACAAAUGGAACAGGAAACCAAACAAACAUACCAGACUGUAAACACCCAAGUUUAAAUUAUGAUCACCUGAUUAUGUGAUGUUGCAAGCUUAUUCAGUAUUAAACAAGAAGGAUUUCAAGCAAGAUCAUCAUGCCUGUAAUGGGCUUAUGCACACGGAGACAAAGAAAAUGACAGAGACUCGACAAAUGUUUUUGAGUCGAGGGGCCCCCAAAUGAAGUGAUAUUGACGUUCUUUUUUAUUUAUUCUCUGAUCAGGAUAUGUCACACAAAGAGCCAUGAAAAAAUACUUAGAGGAGCCAAGUGCUUUCCAAAUUAUAUCUGACAACUUUGAA